GAAAGGGAGGGCAAAAGUGCAUCGAAAAGAUGAUUACUUGGUUCUCUCUUCCUAUUCUUUCGGUAACGUUACGAGGGGGAUUUCGGUUCCUUUCGCAUUCGUUCCGAAUCGUUUACUUUGAAAAAAUUAGAGUGUUCAAAGCAGGCGUAACUUUGCCUUUGAAUACAUUAGCAUGGGAUAAUAAAAUAUGACUUUGGUCUUAAUUUUGUUGGUUUCUAGGGCUGGGGUA
rnacentral:rRNA from 1 species